UAUAUAAACCUUGUUUCCUUAAGCUCUCCCUAUCCCCCAACAGCUAGCUACACAGAGACCACUAUAUAUACUCUCCAUAAUUCAAGCUACAAACUGAUACGUAGAACACCACUCCUAGUCUUCUCUUCCGGUGAGUUGAAGAUGGCGAGAGAAUCAACUUCAAGGGGGAUUCGGAAGCUUGGAUCAUGGCAACGAUGUUCGAGGCUUGUACGGGAGCAGCGAACGCGUUUUUACAUCAUAUGGAGGUGUACAGUGAUUCUUCUUCGUUGGGACGAGUGAGCCUGGAGGCGAGUCGUAGGUUCGGACCUUUGUUUGUACAUUAAGAAAGCUAUUGCAUAUAAAAGCAGCUUCGUGCUGUAAGGUUGCAUCUGCACAACCAAGUUUGAUCAUUAUGAAAAACCCAGUUAAGGUGGAAUUAGCAGCAGUUUUUGUAAUGGGUAAUUUAGGAUAAAUUUAAAGAACAAUACUCGUUCUCAUGUAAAAACAGAAGAGAAGUUUGUUUCUAUGAUACUUUUUGUCUAUUCAGUUACCUCUCUCCUUCCCUCACACGGGCACACACAGGACUGGCUUUUUCAUAUUGGACAACAAUCAGCAAGAAAAAAGAAAAUAUUUGCUAAUGAAACGCAUAUCAAGGCAAUCUGUUUAUGGCCAUAAUUUUCAACUUAAUAUCAAGCACCUCCUGGCCACCCAUCGGUACAUGCAGUUCAUUAUCCAUUACAGCUCAUUUUCUUCACCGCCCCGACAUAUCAAAUAUUUUCCAUCCGAUCUGUUUCGCCGGUCAUCCCUACAAUUCCACCAGACAUCUUUCUUUUUAAAAUUUUCUUUUCCAGUAAAGACGAGGCAUCAUGUACAGUUAAUCUCAAAUAAGUGCAGAUCAUAAGAAUAAUCUUUACAUAUAUCAAAUUCCAAAUCAAAAACGACCAUUUACUUUCUGUACUCGUUCAUAUCAACCAUACAGAAAAGAGUUCUGUUGAGAAGCAACAGAUUUACUAUCCACUCAUUAAACUUCAAAAUUUUUAUUACAUUUCAUGGCUUCAAUGUUCAUUUUCUAUGUACCUAAACAAAAUUCUUCUCUCGGUAUGACUUCCCAGAUAAAUGGCAGUCAAAUUCUAGACUUGUCAUCAUCCCUUCAUCACUUGCUGUCAAGGGGAGGGUCACUAGGAGUUGCUCUUGUUGAACUUGAAUCACU
rnacentral:lncRNA from 1 species